rnacentral:lncRNA from 1 species
ACACACACACACACACACACACAAAUAUAUAUAUAUAUAUACAUAUUUAUUUAUAGUUAGAUUUAUAUUUGUAUUUAUGCAUGAAUGCAUGAAUUUGCACUUAAGCCAUUCAUGCUGGGGCUUUUAUUUGCCUAAUGUCGCUCUCACAUGCUCAAUGACAAGUGUAAGAUCUAUGUAGGCCUCUCAGAGCACUUUUCACUGGCUUGCUUCAAUGGGUUUUUGUAUUUGUUAACAUUAUUUUCAUAAGUGAAGAAAAAUGUGUCUAUACAAUAGAACUCCAUAAGUCUAUACAUACAUACUGACAUAGAACAUGUUUAGAGGGAGAGGGCAUGAUGUGAUAGGAUAUUAGCUUAUCCAGUGUGAAUGGGUUAGAAUAAAAGCCAAUACCUUAGCAAUCUUUACCAAGUAUCCUUCUACCCUUCAGAAGGAAGGAGUGAUGCUCCCAAAGUGAACAGCACCCACCAGGAAGAAGGAGAGGACUCAAAGGAAGGGUCUGUGGCAGAGACAUUUGAAGAUGCUGUUAGUGGGUCAGAGCCAGCAGACACAGCAGCAGGAGAAGGAGAGCAUUCAUCAGGAAACAGAGAGUGUCUUGAGGAUGGGACUGCAGUCAGAGGACCUGAGGGUAUAACGGAGUCUAGCACCACCUGAGGCCAGCAGAAAGAUGGUGGUGGUGGGGCUUCCUCCUCAUGGUUGUCGAAAGAUGUGCUCUGCUACACCCUGAGGGGAACAUGCAGGAAUCAUGUACCUCUGUAGCUGCCUUCUCUGCACAGCCUUUUUGGCUUCAGCAGAAGGAAGAUGGAGGCUGGAGUGCAAUUCCCUGGUUUGGUGGCCCAGUCCUCCAAACUCUCCAAUCAUAGUGGAGUUACAUUGUCAAUAUAUAUUGAAAUACAUAUAACGAGCGGGCUAGAUAGCUUUGGUUACAGACCUGAGCAUAGCAACACAAAUUAUAUUUAAUUUACUGUGUAUGAUAUUGUAAAUGAGAAAAUAAUUUUAAAAAUCAUAUAAUUAUUGACUCUUGAUAGAGACGUUAUUGGCAGUGUGCAUGUGCAACAAAUGAACCAGACUGGCUGGACUUGGCAGUUAUCAUGACCAAUCAGCAUCGUGUAAAUACAAUAUCGUGGCCGUGUGUCGUGACAUCUAAGCCCAGUGCACCCGAUGUUGGUACAGGGGUCUCCGUACAAUAUGUUUGGUACUGUGUAUGCCAGGCUAUAUUUCUCAGUUGGGAGCUCAUCAUUGACUGAUAUUGAUUUAAGUAGCAUGUGGAACAAAUUUAAAAGGUUGUAACAAAGAUCUGUAUAGCAAACAAAUUGGCUAUUUUUUUUAGGUCAACAAAUAUUUUGGUUGUAAUUUUACCACCCAUUUGAUGUUGUCAGAUUGUUAUAUCUCAAGUAUACCUCAAUCUGUGUAUCCUGAAAUAAACCUGGUUCUGUCA